rnacentral:tRNA from 1 species
CCCCCCAUAGCUCAAUUGGCAGAGCAGCUGCCUCUUAAGCAGUUUGUUCCAGGUUCGAGUCCUGGUGGGGGGACAA